UGCCAGGGACUCUUUAGCUUUUACUUCUUAUUCUGGCAAGGAGGGGGCCUAAUGACAUCUGGUCAGUUUCAGGGACUUCCUGAAGCUCGUUUGAGUUGUUUAACUUCUUGCUUUAGGAGCAGGAUCCCUGUAGAAUGGAAUGUUUCAAUUUCAGAGGAAACUGUUACACAAUAGCUGACCCAGACUGCUUUGACUUAAGACUGUAGCCUCCUCUGACCUACCCCAUUUUAGAAACAUCAGGGGAGAGAGGGAAAUUGAACUGCCUGUCCAGGAAACCGGUCAGGUCUGGCUCCUGGACAGAGAGAGCUGCAAGGCUUAAGGAGAAUGUGGACAGCAGUCAUCAUUGCCAAACUGAUGCUGGGUCAGGGCUGGGGCUGCUCACCGUGUUUGUUGUGCUUUCCCAGCCCCUAGGGCAGACAGCUCUCAGAGACCACCCAGCCUCUUCCUGUGCAUGCAGUGCUCAUGCUUCCGUGCUCCAAAGCUGUCCGGCUGCAAAGCUGAGGGGUGCCUGAGUAGAGCAGAGGGUCGGGUGUGGGAGCCCCUUCCUGGGAAUUGACACAGGAUACCACGCCCUACCCUCCUCUGGAACUGGUCCCCUCUGGGCAGCAUCUUCUCUUACUCAUAGUCAGUGUGACAGGAGGGGAAGCCACCAGAGUAGCUGUGUUCUUCUGGAUGUUAUGAUACCAUGGUCCUCAUGUCUUGUCUUGUGUAUAAUCCAGGUCCUUGUCAUUCAGGCCUCCUAGAUAGUCAUGAGAAAUGCGUGCAGGUAGAAAUGUGUUUGCCUUGGG
rnacentral:lncRNA from 1 species